ACCCUGUGCAGGAGUCAGUUCCAAUCAGGACACAGUACAGACAUGAGGGCUCCUGCUCAUCUCCUGGGGCUGCUGCUGCUCUGGAUCCCAGGUUCCAUAUGUGAUAUCCAGUUGACCCAGUCUCCAUCUCAGACUGUAUCUCUCAAAGACCCAGUCACCAUUAGGUGUCAAGCCAGUCAGAGCAUUGGUACUGCAUUAAGUUGGUAUCAGCAAAAGCCAGGGAAAUCUCCUAAGCUCCUCAUCUAUCUUGCAAACAGGUUAGAAGAUGGAGUGCCAUCGAGGUUCAGUGGCAGUGGGUCUGGGACAGAUUUUACCCUCACAAUCAGCACUUUGGAGCCAGAAGAUAUUGGAACUUACUACUGUCAACAGUUCAGCAGUUACCCACCCACAGUGGAACAAGUCAAAACACAAGCCAUUGAGCAAAGCAGAAGUAUGAGCCUGGGCUGCCUCAGCUGCUAUUCUUGGUGA